rnacentral:rRNA from 1 species
GACGAACGCUGGCGGCGUGCUUAACACAUGCAAGUCGAGCGGUAAGGCCCUUUCGGGGGUACACGAGCGGCGAACGGGUGAGUAACACGUGGGUGACCUGCCCUCAGCUCUGGGAUAAGCCCGGGAAACUGGGUCUAAUACUGGAUAUGACUCCAUGACGCAUGUUGUGGGGUGGAAAGCCUUGUGCGGCUGGGGAUGGGCCCGCGGCCUAUCAGCUUGUUGGUGGGGUGAUGGCCUACCAAGGCGACGACGGGUAGCCGGCCUGAGAGGGCGACCGGCCACACUGGGACUGAGAUACGGCCCAGACUCCUACGGGAGGCAGCAGUGGGGAAUAUUGCGCAAUGGGCGGAAGCCUGACGCAGCGACGCCGCGUGGGGAUGACGGCCUCGG